AUUGAAUCUGCAGUCUGCUGCUUGGACCCCAGGUGUUCCCAAGAUAAAGUUCUGCUUGGGCUUAAUUUCCCUGCAGCAAAGUAAAAUCUCUGAAUCAGAACCCAAACCCACGUAAGUCUGUAUUCCUCUGUGGAAGACACACCUGAUUUACAACUUGUCCUUAUUGGAUAACUCCUCGUUUUGUCUCUCACAUGGUUUCUCCGUGGAAUACAAAAGGCAUCUAAAUACUGCAGAAAAAGUUCAUAUGGAAGUGAUUGAAGAUAUAUUCAGACACUGACAAUGGGACAGAGAAAGUUACUGAAUCUCAUUACAUGGGAAACAAGCUGAAGUAGAACAAUGGAAAAUCCAUGAUAAAAGAUCUACAUUGGACCUCAGAGGUUUUGACUACUGGCUAAAGCUGUGGGUGGACUGGAAUGAGCAGAAGAUUCUGGCAUAGGAGAUCCCAAAACCAGAGAGACUGGUGCUGCAGGGAUAUGAGUGGAAAUCCCCUGAACUCAUAAGGCCCACAUGAGCACUGAAGAUGCACUUCUGGUGUGGAAAAAAAACCCAGCAACCCAUGAGACCUGAAUCUGUAAACCUGGCAUUCCUGAUUUCAACUAUUUUAAAUCAUGUCAAUAGGUAGUUCAAUGUUGUACAUCCAUUGGCAGACAACGUAUGUGAAAUGGGAGUCAGAUUGUGUAAGUCUGUUGGGUCAGCAAAAAGGAAAUCUAGCUUUCUGAUUGCAUUCAUUGAAAUCUAGAUACUGCAUAAGUACCAGAAUUUUGCACAAAGGAACAUAUUCCUAGGAAAUUGAUUUAGAGAAAAAAGGAUGGAGUUCACAUUCACCUCAUGUUUUCAAUAUUUCAGUGUUGAAAAAUAUUUGGCUGGGCUCUUACUGUCAGUUUUGACCCAAGUUGGUUAGAGACCUGAAUGUCCAUAACUGUAGAGAAAUUUUUGAACCUGAAGUAGUUAGGUAAAAUAAUACUUAUUUUUGCACUUCCGUAAGCUUUUCAGAAUGAUGGUAAAUGAUCUAUAAAAAUGCCUUUUUAGAAUGAAGGAUUCAAAUUUCUGCAAUGAUUGAAUCAUAAGCUUCUGAAACGAAGUGUUUGUAAUGGAAAUGCUGACACAACAUUAACCAUAAAAGUUCGCGUUAGUUAUAACGAGGAGUUUGAUAAUCUGUCUGAUAAUAAGUUACCAACUCUUUUCUGCAGUAGAAGGGAUGGCAUGACUAAUUUAUUUAACUUUUGUACUAUGGAUUAGCACGUACAUUUAUUCAGCUUUUAAAAUUCACUUACAAUUGUUUUAGCUUUCUAAAAUAAAGCGUAUUUCUAUUCCAAGGUUAUAAUGGACUUGCUAAUGGGGUAUUGACUACUGUUGCUUAUCAUCCAUCUUCUGGUGGAAAGGUGAUCCUUACUUUUCACUUAAUAAUUCCCAUUUUUCUGCACAUUCACAUAAAAUUACUUUUACUAGGAAUUCAUUCAACUUGCAAUUGAAGAUAGCCCCA